rnacentral:rRNA from 1 species
UACAGAGACUGCAAGCGUUAUUCGGAUUCACUGGGCGUAAAGGGUGCGCAGGCGGUUGGGUGUGUCAGAUGUGAAAUCCCGAGGCUCAACCUCGGAACUGCGUCUGAAACUACUCGACUAGAGUACUGGAGAGGGUAACGGAAUUCACGGUGUAGCAGUGAAAUGCGUAGAUAUCGGGAGGAACAUCUGUGGCGAAGGCGGCCAUCUGGACCAGCACUGACACUGAGGCACGAAAGCGUGGGGAGCAAACAGGAAUUAGAUGACCCCGGU